GGGGGGCUACUCAUGAGCUAUGUUGAGUGCUUUGUAUGUAUUCUACUCGUGAGCUUGGCAGUGUGACACUUCUAUACUUUUUUUUUGUUAAGACACUUCUACCUUGGAGACUAUUACAAACAAAUAUCGUGAAAACAUCUUUCUGAAGAAAAACACCCUGUUUUUGGCAAUGGAAAGAUUGAUUUUAGAUUGAUUUCUUUGGGCUUAAGAGUAACACCCUGAUGGGAAGAUGCUAUUCUUGAAAAUUUGUUCCUGAAAGAUUAAUUCUUUUCAUUGGUUUAUAUUGUGAGGAGAUGAGAUGCCUUAGCAAAAAUUCUUCCAAUUCAAUCUAUUUAUAUUCUUUCUGCUGAAACUUUGCUUCCUAUUUGAAUUUGGUAGGUUCUGGCAGGCGUCUAAUCAGAGGGAUAAAUCAUGAAAUGCAAGGAUAUGCGAAAGAACAUGGAAACUGACAAUAAUGUGGUUAGAACACUUAAGAGCUGAAGCAAUGACCAAAGAUAUUUGAUGGGAAGGAAGGUGGCUAAAGAUUUGUCAUGAAGCAUCUCAUCCGACUCCUAGACUACCUGUUCCCGCAGUUUGGGAAAGCAUGAGAUUAGGGGAGGUUGGAAAUUGAAAGCAUUAUUAUAUAAUCAAAUAUACUAAAGCUACAAAUAAGUCCUAAAAAAUGUGGUCGAAUUUCUUUUUUCCUUCAAGUGGCCUUUGUUGAAUGAAGCUUGUCAUCUGGUGGAUCGUUUGGAAAGUAGCUGAAAAAAUGUGAGGAAGGGGAGUGUUGUGCCCUACUCUGGAUUUCAAUGUGCUAUCUGUGAUUGGGGAUCUAGCAUGUCAUUCACUGAAUUGAUUUAAAAUAGGGGCUAGUUUGAGAUAGUUUCUCUAGUAGACUAACAUAGUUUGACUGGAAUUUUGAGGAUUCCAAAAUUUUCCAUUUCUUGAUAAGUUUUUUUUUUUCCUCCCUCUUUGGGGGUUAUCUAGUGUGUACUCAUCUGUGCUUGCUAACCGUGCGAUGUAAAGAAAUAACUCUAUUUCAAUGCAAUAAAGCUAAGAGCAAUCAAACACAUUCCUUGGCCAGUACAGUGCUUUAUUUGAAGAAAUCCCCUGAUUUGGUAAUUUCCAUAGAACUUGUUGAUUCCCUGGUAAGCAGCUCCUUUCCAUGAUAAAUAAGAGGUUGUGGAUCACUUAGUCAAUGCCAUUAAGCACUGCCAAAAGUUGGUUCAUUAGUUUACAUCAGUGGUCCUUUUCCAAAAAAGAUAUAUAUGU